UCAAAUCAUCAUGCCCCUUAUGACUUGGGUUACACACGUGCUACAAUGGAUGGUACAAAGGGCUGCAAGACCGCGAGGUCAAGCCAAUCCCAUAAAACCAUUCUCAGUUCGGAUUGUAGGCUGCAACUCGCCUACAUGAAGCUGGAAUCGCUAGUAAUCGCGGAUCAGCAUGCCGCGGUGAAUACGUUCCCGGGCCUUGUACACACCGCCCGUCACACCACGAGAGUUUGUAACACCCGAAGUCGGUGGGGUAACCUUAUGGAGCCAGCCGCUAA
rnacentral:rRNA from 1 species